CCCGUGCAGCUUUUAUGGCGAUAUUCCUUCUUCUUGGCCAAUUCAAAACGUUCUCUUCUCCAAUAUUUAAAUGAUGUCUUAAUGUCUUAUUGGGAACAAGCUCUAAGACAAGCAAUUUAUCGACGCCAUCAUCGCAGUAGCCAAUCAGCUUAACAACAUUUGGGUGACUCACUUUUACAAGAUAAUCCAUCUCCUCUAUUUUAUCUGGUGGCUUUUCGUCAUUUUCAUAUUUAAACUUCUUGAUAGCAACGGGUUCACCAUCUAAAAGUCCCUUGAAGACAUCACCAAAUCCACCCGAGCCAAGUUUUUUCUUGUUGGAGAAAUGUUUGGUUGCCUUUGAUAGGUCCUCAUAACUAUAUUUCCUUAACUCAGGUGGAUUUGGUUCUCGUAAAGUAGAUCCAACACCUAAGAAAGUCUGAUGAUGAGUAGUAUCUGGAUUUGGAUUUGGUUCUGCAGAUGUAGAUCCACCGUCUCUGGUGUCAGCGCUCUUUCCAGAACAAUACCCAAAGCAGCAAGCCAUCAAGAGUUGCAGAGUCUCACCGAACAGUUAUGCUACCACCAUCACUGAGAGACAGAAAAAGGUAUAUUGUUUGGGACGUUAAGGUUGAGACUAUGCAGAGUUAGGCAAUUUUUUUUUUCUUUUUUUGAAGUAUACAAAGACUUUGGGUAAAAAAAUA
rnacentral:misc_RNA from 1 species